GCCUCUCCAGGCCCCCCGCCUGGGCCGCCGCUCCAGGUGCAGGAGCAGCCCAGCCUCGCCCCGUGGGCGAUGUGCCUCUGAGCUUGGAGCCGGAUCAGAUUGAGGAAAGACUGAGCUGAUUCAUCCUAAAGCUCAUACUCAUCCUCUUAAGCUUGUCCUGUUUCUUGGGGGCUCAGGGCGGCAGCAUGGAUCCCCACUUGACAGAGAUCGAAUAGAGAAGCUUACUAAGUGGCUCCCAGUUACCCCAGUAGCGGGGAAUGGUGGGAGGGCGGGAGGGCGCCCCGCAAGGAACUGCUCCUUCUCCACCCUGACAUUGGACGGGCCUUGCUGUCUGCCCAGGAAAAAGCCACUUUAGAGACAGGAAAAAGACGAGAUGUGACAUAAGAAUGGGUUUCAGAGCCGCCACUUGUUGGCCCCAUCCACGUAUUAAUCACCGUGACUUACAGAAAUUUCCCAGGGGUUGCCCGGGGAGGGCGUGAGCUUGGAGUCCUGAAAGACAGUUCAGGCAAAAACUCUAGAUUUGGACUUGAGCGCUCAGACGCCUCCACCAUAUAACUGGCCUGCUCAGGCCUGACGGAGACUUUCAAGGAGAAUAGCUACUUCAUUCAACUAAGGACUUACUAAAUCUUCCUCCUUAUGGGCAGUUGGUCAAGAUGUAAGACAUUGACCCAUCCUCAACAAGUCAUGGUACCUGCCUGUAUUCGCCAUGCCAAGCAGCAAGCACAUACUUCGGAUGCAUCACCUCACAGCCAUGGAUGAUCAGAACCCCUCUGGGGAUUCUGUUCCCAUCCCAGACGCCAAGAUAACAGUCCCAGGGAAGGGAAACAAGCCGUGUGCAUCCUUCUGGAUAAGAGCAGCAGCAAAUGCAAACUGAUUAUCAAGCCCAGAGAGAAGACGAAGCCGUUCAGGACAAGUUGUUGGCUUCCCCAGUAGGACAAAGAGUUCCCUAAGGUAGUGUCUUCAUUCACUUGAUAAAAAUCGGAGCACCUACACUGUGCAGGAACCAUGCCUGGUGCUGGGGUUUGGGGGCUGAAUGGGGCAGAGGUGGUCCUGACCUCAGGCUUCCGUUUCUAAAUGCAUCCAGCCUUACAAUCCAGUAGGAAGGAGGAAGCAAGCAGUCGAUCCCUCUAAAUCCAGGACAAGAGCAAAGAAAGCAGGAGUCUGGGACAUGGAACAGAGAAGAAAGCCUAGCUGCUGGCUGGGCCUCGGGGAAGGUAUGAGCAGGUGCGAUGUGGCACCUGGGCCUUUCUCGCAGAGAGCAGGGCCGGGUCACAUGGGCUCAUAGAACAAUAGGAUAGUUCAAGGAGUCAAAACCCGAGGCAAAUCGGGCUGGGGUGGGAAAGCCCCAUAGAGGCCCAGGGAGAAACCAUAUCUUCCGGAGAAGCCAGGAAAUUGUCUGGGAGAGAGGGAUGAGUCACCGGGGUGGGGUACUCCCAGCGAAGGGGAGUGGCAGGGCCCACUGGACCUGACAUGGCCAUGGGAGAUAUGUGGUCUUCCCUGGAAGACCCCAGCCCCCUACCCAGCUGCUGCAUUGGCCACCUAGCAGCACCCUCAGGAGACUGGGGUCCCUGGCCCAGCCCCGAAGGAGAUAGUGGAAAGGCUUCCCAGCCUCUUCCUGCUGAUGUGAAAUAGUUGAAAGAGAAAAUAAGAGAGAUGAAUGAUCGGCUAUUUGAAUUUUGACUCCCUGGAUCUUGCAUGUCUUAAGACACCAGGAUACAGAGGCUCUUAGCUGGAAGCGGAAUGCAUGGGCCAGAGACAGAAUGUGUUUGCCCAAGGACUGGCUGCAUACUGAACACACUGUAAGCUGGAUGUUGCAGAGGAGGGAGGAAAAGCCCCCAAGACUCAGUGAUCUGGGUUGCUGUGGAGGACAGUGGGGUGAUGGAAAAAGAAUAGGAGGCCAGGAAGUACCCAGUGAUUCACCGAGGGAACAGUUAGGACGGGCAGAAGUGUACUUGUGGCCCGGAAGCAGGAUCUCAGAGAAUGAAGUAGGCAGUGCUCCCUCCAAAACGGAGACAUCUGGUUGCAAGUCUGAGGGACGUGAGAUGAUGUCCCUGCUUCCUCCUUCCUACUGGAUUGUAAGGCUGGAUGCAUUUAGAAACGGAAAGGUAAAGAUGAGAGGACAAAAAAAAAAAAAAAGAUGAGAGGACAGAAGUUGGUGUCAUCACAGCAUACAGUAGGCCACCUGGACCCAGGAGAAAUUCCAUCCCCUCUCUGAGGGAACUCCACAAAUGGGCAGAGAGCAAUGUAAAAGUGAGACGUCCACUGGAAGCCUCUUUAACAAAAAUCAGAUUCUUUCACCUACACCCCUCCCCUUCACCCAAGUUUACGGAGCGUCAGUUCUUGGCCAGGCACUGGGAUAGAUGCUGAGGACACAGUGGUAAAGGAGACAGAUGUCAUAGUCCCUGCCCUUCCAAACCUGGCCUUCCAAUGGCAGUAAGCAAGCAAAAGCCAGAACCAAAACCAAACAAGUUCACAGCCUAAGAAAUACUAUAACUGUAAGUUGAUCUAACUGAGAGGGGCCUAAGGGGGGAAGGGUAAUCAGAGGAAACCUCCUGCAGGGUGAAAUCCACCCUGAGACCUAAAGGAAGAGAAGAAGCUAGCUAAGCAAAGGAGAGAGGACACAGCAGGUGCAAAGGUCCUGGGGCAGAGGACAAUUAGAGCUACUCAAAGAGUGGAAAGAACACAGUAGGAGUGGUAUGGGAUGAACUUGGUGAUAAGGGCAGAGGCUUUGAGGGUGUUCAACAGGGGGAUGGUGUGAUCCACUUCAUGUUUUAAGAAGGCCAUUUUUGCUACUAUGUGUAAACUAGAUGGUGAAGCUUCUGACAAAUUCUUGAUUUAUUAACAAUUUCCUGCCUUAGAAGAUCUACUCCCAGGAACGACCGCCAUAUAGGGGAACUGUUAGCCAAAUCAACAUAAUAGAAAUCUGGAAGUAGCCAACUAUGUGAUUUUAGGGUUCGCACUAUCCUAGAAAGAUAACACAGAGUUAGCGUAUAUUUUGAUUAUCAGCAUGGAAGAUCUCAAAUCUCUGGUUGAAAAGUCUUGUGAUUCUAAGAAUUGCAUCUCAAAAGGGAAGGUCAGUUCAGAGUACUUCCAACUGUGUCAUUACAAACGACUUUCUUUCCAAAGAGGGGGAAAUGGACAUAAUGGUGGACAUGGUUCUGAGGGAAGCUGAGAUGUUUAAAGAACAGGUAGCUAAAAAGAAAACGAAGGUUAACUACCCACAGGCAAAUACAAGAUAGGGACCUCUGAGAAUAAUCUCAGGAAUGCACAGCACAUGGAAAGGGAAAUGGAAAAUGAUUAGGGCAGGACACCUGGGGCGCACAGCAGACAAAGGCACAGCGCUGCCUGGAGCCAGGGGAAGCCGCGAGAUUCCUCCUUCCCACAUCCUUUAGGGAGGAAACCUGCGGGACAAGAGGCCAGGACUCUGAGCACAGGACUCCUGCUUGCUUUGCAAUCUGCAGCACCCCCUGCAUGGCUGGCCCAGAUUUUCAGACAUUCAGAGUCUAGACUGAAGACACUAAAAGGAAUAUUUGUAUGUUCACUCUUCAGCAUUCCAGGUGAGUAGGACUUUAAGGUGACUUCAGCGCCAGCCUCAAGCCGGCAGUCUGUUUGUUCCCUUCGGUCAUCUGCAUGGUCCCACUUAGGAAAGCCCCGUUAGGACCCUCGGAGUAGAUCAAGGAUGUAUUUUAUGUUCUGAAACAUUAGAAAGCCACAGCAUUAAAACAUAAAUACAAAGGCAGAACACUUUAAAAUGAGAAAAAAACAUCCUUUCUUGAUAGGGUUGGAAGCUUCAUCUCUUUCCCUAGACACGGUAAAUAGAUCCUUCUCUCUUCCUUCCCCAGUGGGAAGAGCAGGAAAUGGGCAGAGAGGGGUGGGCAGGGAGUAGUGAUACUCUGACGUAGCUGUAGGAUUUCAGAAUUGAGAAAGAGCCUCAGGAGCCCUCAUGGCCAACUUUUUAUCUCACGGAAGAGGAAACCAAAGCUCAGUAAAGUCAGAUGACUUGCCUAAGGUCAUUGGCCUCAGGCCCCUGGGGAGUUAAUGUAUCAGGGUGGAUUGAUGACUUUAUGCAUUUAAAAGAAUGAACUCCCCUAGUUAGAAGAUCACUCUGAUACCUCAUUUAUUCAUCCAACGAGCAUUUACUGAGCACCUGCUCUGUGCCAGGCUUGGGCCUGUAAUGACAGCUUGUCUCCUGCAGCUGCCCUCUUGUGGCAAAGUAGGGAGGUGGGUGAGCAGGUUGCAAUGCACUGAAUUGGUAUAAUGGCCUGCUACUGGAGGAAAGUACUGCCCUGGAGAUGAGGCCAUCUGAAGUCCUCCUCUUCACCCCACCCCACCCUGGCCUUCCCCAACCAUCAGGUUGCAGAGGACUUGUAGGGCUUAUGUUCCUCAUGUCUAAAUAUUAAAACAUUAUACAUCAAUUAACUAUGAUAAAUAAAAUAAAGCAUGUAGACCCACCCUAGACUUCUGUGGGGCCAGGAAAUGUACGUGGAGCCCCUGGCCCCUGGCCCUUGGCCCACACGUCUGUGCACCCCGCCUUCGGCUCUGCUCACAACACCCAACCCGCACAUCCAAGCUCUACUCCAGCCUCCCCUCUCACAUCCUGUUGUCCCUACCUCAGACCUCUCACCUCCAGGGGCCUGGUCCACCAUCAAAAGGGCAGGCCCUACAAGUUUGCUUGGGGCUAUUGGGGCAGGGGAUUCUCGGGUCCCAGAAAACCAAAGUAUGACCUAGAAGUGAAGACUGAGCUCCUUGCUCUAUGGGGAAGGGUUCAGUCGCUGGAGGACCAAAGUGGGGUCCUUGCAAGUAGGAGACCCCAGACAGGGCCCCGCCUGGGCUGGAGGUACAGCAGAGGUCAUUGCUGAGGUACCACCAUCAUGCCUGCCUGCCUUCUCUGCAGGUGGGUGCUUUCUUUUAUGAUUUGGUUGGUGCAGACCCUUUCUUAAAGUUUAAAUAACUUGGUUCAUAUCAUUCAGAAGUAAAAGGCCAGUUCUGGUAUCAAAGAGGAAGGCCAGGCACCUGGGAAUGUCUCAUGCAUCCUUAGGGCGGUGAUCAGUUCUUUACCAGAGGCCUGAAGAGUGUCCUUGGCUGGUGCCCAUGUGGUCCACACACCACUCAAGAAGACCCACUGUUGAAGGGACACCUGUGGAUUCUGAGGUUGUUGUUCCUGUCCCUUCUAGAAGACCAUCCAGGCAAUUAAAAAUACAAUUACAGAAGGCUUCUAAAUUUAUUUGCUCCACUGUUAAAAAUAAUGCAUACUUUUAUAAAAAUGGGUGAAACAUAAAAAUAUCAAGAAAAGCAUAAAAAUAAACCACAGUGCCACCUCUCACAGAAAACCACUAUACACAUUUUGAUGCAUCAUUCUGGUCUUUUUUUCCAUGUUUGUCUGUGUAUCCAUCUAAAUACAUGUUUUGGGGGGGGGGAUUUAUGACCAUAUUGCAUAUGCUAUUUUGCUUGAGGGCUUCCUUCUUCACUUAACUAUACCAUGAACGUUUGCACAUAUUAGAUAUUCUUCUAAGACUGGGUCAUGAGCAUGUUUACAGCUUUUGAUAAUCUUUUUCAAAUUAUACUCCAGAAAGACUGUAGCACUUUGUGCUCAAACUCAGUCUCCCUGAGGGCACGGGGGCUCUCGCGUGAGCCCCCAGCAGAAGCAGAGAGGUCAGGAGCACAGGCCCCUGCUUAGCUCUAAAGCCUGGUUCUGUACUUCACCCUGUGUGACCCUGGGAUGGGUUACCAGAUUUUCCAGCACAGGGGUUGGUCAGCUUUUUCUGUAAAGGGGCUGAUGAGGACUGCCUUCAUGGGCAUUCAUCCUGGGCAGUCACUGAGGGCCGUAGGCUUAGAAGGGCGCACGUUUGGCUUAAUGCUCUGCUGCCUCUGCUUUGAAAAGUCAUAACAGUUUAUAAACAAGCCAAAUUUUCCCCAAAUUUUCCCUUUGCGUUGGGCCCUGAACACAGUGAAGCUGUCCUGAACUGGAGGCAAAUAUUCUGAGCUUCGGGGGCUGCAUGGUCUCUGCUGCUACCACUCUAGAUUGCAGGUGUAGCGUGAAAGCAGCCAAGAUGAUACGUCAUGAAUGGGCAUGGCUGUGCUCCAGUAAAACUCUACCUACGAAUGCAGUCUGCAGGCUGGAUCUGGCCACAGAGUUGCCAGUUGCCAACCCUGGGCUGCUGCCUCAGUUUCCCAAUGGGGCAAAUGGGAAGAAUAUUAUUCAUCUUAUAUGACUGUUCUGAGAACCAGUCACUGAGACAAAUAAAGCACCUGAACAGUCAGCAUUAUAGUAAGUAUUAGGCAGUGUGAGUUACUUUUACCUUUAAAAAGAAUAUUAUUUUUUUUAAUUGUGGGAAAAAAUAAUUUAAAAUUUUUUUUAAAAUAGUGGCAAGUUAGACACAAUAAAAUUUAUCAUCUGUAAGUGAGCAGCUGAGUGGGAUC